rnacentral:rRNA from 1 species
UACGGAGGGGGCUAGCGUUAUUCGGAAUUACUGGGCGUAAAGCGCACGUAGGCGGCUUUGUAAGUCAGAGGUGAAAGCCUGGAGCUCAACUCCAGAACUGCCUUUGAGACUGCAUCGCUUGAAUCCAGGAGAGGUGAGUGGAAUUCCGAGUGUAGAGGUGAAAUUCGUAGAUAUUCGGAAGAACACCAGUGGCGAAGGCGGCUCACUGGCCCGAUACUGACGCUGAGGUGCGAAAGCGUGGGGAGCAAACAGG